AUUGAACGCUGGCGGCAUGCCUUACACAUGCAAGUCGAACGGCAGCACGGGAGCAAUCCUGGUGGCGAGUGGCGAACGGGUGAGUAAUGUAUCGGAACGUGCCCAGUCGUGGGGGAUAACGUAGCGAAAGCUACGCUAAUACCGCAUACGAUCUAUGGAUGAAAGCGGGGGACCGUAGGGCCUCGCGCGAUUGGAGCGGCCGAUAUCAGAUUAGGUAGUUGGUGGGGUAAAGGCCUACCAAGCCGACGAUCUGUAGCUGGCCUGAGAGGACGACCAGCCACACUGGGACUGAGACACGGCCCAGACUCCUACGGGAGGCAGCAGUGGGGAAUUUUGGACAAUGGGCGCAAGCCUGAUCCAGCAAUGCCGCGUGCAGGAUGAAGGCCUUCGGGUUGUAAACUGCUUUUGUACGGAGCGAAAAGGCUCUCUCUAAUACAGGGGGCUCAUGACGGUACCGUAAGAAUAAGCACCGGCUAACUACGUGCCAGCAGCCGCGGUAACAC
rnacentral:rRNA from 1 species